GAUGAACGCUGGCGGCGUGCCUAAUACAUGCAAGUCGAGCGAACAGACGAGGAGCUUGCUCCUCUGACGUUAGCGGCGGACGGGUGAGUAACACGUGGAUAACCUACCUAUAAGACUGGGAUAACUUCGGGAAACCGGAGCUAAUACCGGAUAAUAUAUUGAACCGCAUGGUUCAAUAGUGAAAUACGGUUUUGCUGUCACUUAUAGAUGGAUCCGCGCCGCAUUAGCUAGUUGGUAAGGUAACGGCUUACCAAGGCAACGAUGCGUAGCCGACCUGAGAGGGUGAUCGGCCACACGGGAACUGAGACACGGUCCAGACUCCUACGGGAGGCAGCAGUAGGGAAUCUUCCGCAAUGGGCGAAAGCUUGACGGAGCAACGCCGCGUGAGUGAUGAAGGUCUUCGGAUCGUAAAACUCUGUUAUUAGGGAAGAACAAAUGUGUAAGUAACUAUGCACGUCUUGACGGUACCUAAUCAGAAAGCCACGGCUAACUACGUG
rnacentral:rRNA from 1 species